rnacentral:sRNA from 1 species
CCCAAGUCAGUGCUCUCUUGGAUAAGUGG